GCAGUUCUCAUGAAGAAAGAAGUUUUGUGAUGUAUAAAUCUGCACUUUAACCAUUGCUCCAAGCAAGAUCAGGAGCGUAUUUACUUACUACGGAAGUGCCUGAUUAAGAUCAUGUCAUAACAUACAUGUGGAAGAGGGGCCAGAAGGGACAGGAAAAUAUGCAGUUACCAGCAUUGCUCAAGAAGCACUGAGACAAUGCCUAAUUUCUCUUCCACCCCAGACUAUUGAAACCUUCACAUGACAGUCAUUACAGAAGAGAAGGAACCUGGAACCAGGAUAAUAGAGGGAUUGUUUCUGCACUGCAUGGUUUUAAUGCAUGCCAGGAUGAAAAUGAAUCAACAACAGAGCUUGAGACAGCAAUUGGCUUACAGAUGCCUCUUCCCUCCUGCUGUAUGUCUUAAGGCUGCAACUGCUUCCUUUUUGGAGAUUAAAUUGGUGGAAAGUCUACAUGUGGACAUUAGCCAAGCAAAUUCUCUCCUCUAAGAGAAGUGUUGAUUGUGUGGAAAUUAUUAUUUUCCAGAAAUAGGGAAGGGUUCAAAUGAAACAGAUUCAGCUUGAGAAUUUAGUCAACUAGAUAGAAAUAAUCACUGAGUCAGCAAUGAGAGCAAUUCUAGAGCAACUCUGUUAUUUUCAUUAAAAAAUCUAGCUGUCAGAUUCGUUAUGAAAAAGAGAGCUGUCUCUGUCCACCUGAGGAGAUGAAACACACAUACAUUUCGACUGAUAUAGACCCUCAGCCAGUUCUGACAAUGUUUAUGGAAAAAUAAGCAUAAUUUAAAACUCUGGACAAGUGCAAGCAUCCCAAGAAGUGUGAACACAUUGUGUGGCUUAUCAAUAUUUCUUUUAGACUAUACAGGUAAACAGAGGUCUGCACUAUCCUGGCCAAGGUUUUCAUACUUGGUAUCUUGCUUUAGGAGUGGGAAAUCUCCUAAAGAGGCUGUGAGAUUCUGAGGCAGGGCCCAUGGUAGUUCAUGGUCAGGCUGCCUGGGCACAGUGCAGCAUCACAGGAAGCCACACUCUGCAGGGCACCCUCCAGGAUGCAGCCUCUGCUACUGCUUGCUGCUCUGCACUUCUUUCUCCUCAAUAUCUGGCUUACUGAAACCACACCUCCAUCUAACUUCUUGUUGAUUUUCUCCUUUUUCCAAUGGUUAAAAAAAAAAAUAUAUAUAUAUAUAUGCCAGACACUCAGUGGUAAAGAGUUAAACUAGGCACCUAGUUGAGCUGCAGCCUAAUCACAGCUGCCCUGCAGGAGGCUUUCAGUGCAUCUUGGUGAGAUCAGAGAAGGGGAUCUAGAGGUCCUGGAUAUCAGUCUCAUGGCUGGAUAACACAGUCCUUCCUUUCCUCUUCAUAUACCUCCUGGGUUACCUAUUUGGAUGCAAGAGCUUUGACUUAAGCAUGCUAUUUUUUUUUUAGCAUGGGAAACCUCUGGCAGGCUGUUUUAAUUGUUGACUAGAACUCAGCAGAAGAUUCUAUGACACAGCAUACAAACCAAUGAAUUGAGGACUUUGAAUCCCCUAACCAGUCCUUCAUGCCCUCUUUUCUCUUCCCCCCUUCUUUAGAAUUAACUCUUUUUUAUAAUUCAAGUGCUUACUUGUUGGUGGGUUAUAAAUCCCAAGUGGAUAUCCUUGUUUAAAUCUAUGAAUAGAUGUUGAUGUACAUGGGGAGCAGAUGCUGAUUUUUUAUUUAUUUAUUUAUUUUGCCUUACAUCUCUGACUGGAAAUACAAUGAAAACAAAUCACCGUUCAUGACAACAAAAAUUUUGGCUCUUGAGCAGGCCAAAAUCUGGUAAAAAUUAAUUCAUAAAAUUUGCGGUUCUCUUGGGGCUAUUUUGUCCUGGUGAUUUUUUCAGCUACUCAUCUCAGGACAGGGGCAGAUUUUUUAUUUUGUUGAUGAAUAUUAGAAAGGAAGGCAGUUUUGCUUUCUCAAAGGAAGGACACACUGCUCAUGGCCAAGAUUUUUACUGUACCUUGUAAUUAACCAAAAGUAUAAUAUAAUAAGACAGCACUCUAUCUAUGAGUCUAGUUAUCAUUUGGUUGGCAAAGGACACAUGCUGUAUAUAUAACUUAUUCUGUUGUCCAGACAACAGUAUGCUUGAGAAUUGUUAGAGGGUAUGGAGAAAAUGUGAACUGUAUUUAGUAAAGCUAUAGCAGAGAGGCUGAACUUGACCUCUAGAGCUAGAAACUAUAGCAAUAAAGGAAUGGCUAUACCUUUAACAUAUGGGACUGGCAUACAGAACAAAUCUCAUGAAUGUUACAAAGUCAAAUAUUUAAGAUUAAUGCUCAAAGAGAACCUGCAUAACAUGUUUUCUCUUCGGCAGAAAGAAUUCAGUCAAUGCUCUACAGUGUCCAUACCAGUGAAAUAAGGAUGAACAUUUCACAUAAAGCCAUGACUACAAUCCUGCUCCUGCUCACUUAUGCCGUGGGGAUAAUAAAGAGCAGAGAAAAGCUUAGUUAAAAGGUCAGUUUGAUGCAGAGGCUGUUGUAUAGUCUAGACCUGUCAAGGUCUGUGCGUGCAGCCACAACACCUUCAGAGGAGGAGCUAUCAUAGAAUCAUAGAAUGGCUUGGUUUGGAAAGGACCUCAAAGAUCAUCCAGUUCCACCCCCCACCAUUGGCAGGGAUGCCCCACACUAGAUCAGGUUGCUCAAGGUCUAGUCUAACCUGGUCUUAAACACCUCCAGAGACGGAGAAUCCACAAUCUCCCCGGGCAACCUGUUCCAGUGCUUCACUGCCUUCUGAAUGAAGAAUUUCCUCCUAACUUCUAAUAUAAAUCUCCCCUUUUAGUUUAAAACAAUUCAUUCCCCCUCAUCCUGUCACUAUCUGAUUGAGCAAAGAGUUGCUCUCCAUCUUUUUUUAUAAGUCCCCUUCAGAUACUGAGAGUUGCAAUGAGGUUCCCCCAGAGCCUUCUCUUCUGUAGCCUCAACAUCCCCAGCUCUCUCAGCUUUUCUUCAUAGGAGAGGUGCUUCAGCCCUCUGAUAAUCCUCGUAGCCCUCCUCUGGACCUAUUUUUCAACAAUAAGACCAAGAUCUAGGCCAUAUUCAGAGGCUAUAAAUUCUCCCUGGAGAGCUAAAGACAUCUUGAAAAUGGGGCUUGGGCCCCUAAAGCAGAAAUGUAUGGCUCUAAAUACUGAGAACCACCAAAAUAUAUUUUAAAAAAUGGGCUGCCUGCUAUUUCUAUACAAGAAUUUCACAACUUUUUUUCCCAAUCCAAUCUAGGGGUUUAUUGCCAGGGCUUUCUCACAGAGCAGAAAAUCAGUCUAUACCAAUUUAGUUGUAAAGAAGAAUACAACUUUAUCCAAAAUGUCAAGCUUAGACAUUUCUGUGGAACAAAACUGAAAAUAAUUGAAAGUGUAAUUAUGGAUAAAGAUUAAGUUCAGCUGGGUUUAACUGGCUCUGAAAUAUUAAAUAACUCUGCAAGCUAAUGUUAUACUUUGUAGUAAGGGGACCCUAGAAAUAAGUUCAUGGCCUCUGAUUUCUAUAUAAAAAUCUGGAAGUAUGUUGCUGGGGUAGAUAAUCCUCUUAUUGCAUUGCCAAAAUUAUUUCAGAGAUUGUUUUGUGGAAAAAUUUGACCUGGAUUUAUUCAUAUAAAAGAUUUUCCAUUGCUGUCUAGCAAUUGCAAAUAGAGAGAUACAAAAGUGGAGGGGACAAAAAUAAAAAUAAAUUGUCUGUACUUUUCUUCCAGUUCAUACAGUAAUACUGUUAAUACUGUGCCAGGAAUCAGCACCACAAAGAGAUGAACUAUAUUGUUCAGAAAGGACUGACUGCAGCUUAGCACAGCUGGGGGGAACAGGCUCUAAGCACUACAGAGCUGCUGAUUAAAUACACUUCAGGCAUGCAUGGGAAGGGACCAAGUAGAAUAUAUUCUUGCAUGAUUUUGCUACUAAACUGCAAUUCAUUUUGCAAGCUAUUGAUGACAUAGGCUGAAUGUGCAGUAACUUCAUAACCAUCUCAAGAAAGGCUAAUGUACAAAAAACUCUAUAGAAAUAUUAACAUCUAACAGAAAAGGAAAGUAUUCCAGAGUAUCUUCACUACUGAAUCAAAAUCAGACCUGAUAAAUUUUAGAGAACUUCCAACAUAUAGGCUAUGCUGCCAUAGGGACGCCACUAAAACAUCUGGAAAAUAUUUCUAUGCUUACCCAUAAAAACCUCAGGUAUCUACCAAUAAAUAAAAUGAGCAGUCACUUAAAGUAAAGCUGCAGUGAACAGAACAUUGGAGACUGUCUCCUAUCUUUACCAAAUUGUCUCAGAAAGGGACACACUACUGUGAAGAAAAACAAGAAUUUGACUUUAAGGACUGUCCAGAUAAAGGUUAAUUUAGAACUAACACAAGACCUUCUCUCCACACUUUCUUACUGUGUCUUAGUUACUCUAAAGAAAAACUCCUUUUGCUACCAAUUGAUUUUUCUAAUGAUAAUAUUGAACUUCCCAAGGCUCAGUUAGUGUCAACUGCCCUUUGUCACACCUAGCCCCAUUACGGAGUACCACAUGGCCAGCUAUGAUAAGGUAAGCAAAUACUAGAGCUUGUUGCAAGCUUAUAUAUGGAAGAGGAACCUUUUUCUUCCAUUUUCAAUAGGUAUAUGAGAAAAUGUCAAAUGAAAACAAAAAAAAACAAAAACCCUACAACCCCAAAAGUAAAACAUAUGAGUAAAUUCAUAUAGACAGCUAGUGAAAAAGUUUGUGAGAGGUAAAGGGACAAGAGGUGUUGGCAGGAAUAACAUCAUCCUUGAAUUCAAAUACUGCUUCUUACCAAAGUACAAUCAGUCCACAUCAGAAUAGAUUUUAGUCAUAAAUUCUAGGUAGUUCUUGCAGCCAUGCAUCAGGACAUGGAGUUGUACGGACACGUUUCUGAGCUUUUCAUUUGAAAUUUUACAGUAUUAUCCUUCUGUCAUUCAAAAUGUCUGACAGGAUAUAUAAAGUCUCACUGUUACUAGUACACUCUCUGUGAUUCUUCAGAAUCAAACGAUACAUAAAAAGUACACUUUCAUUUCAGUGUUUACGUCACAGGUACAUUUGAUAAUAAUAAAGUAUAGCAGCUCUGUAGCAUCUAGUAGUUCAGUAACACUUAAUAAAAAACUAUACUUUUAAUCCUGAAACUCUUCUUUGCCUGGUAGAAACAGUGAGAAAAUUUAAUCUCAGCAUGUUCUCAUUUGGUGUAGACAUCCAACCUGAAAUAUUGUAAGUGCAGGUCUCACUGGACUACCUGAAACAUGGCAUAAAAUAAACAAAUAAAUAUAUAAAUAAAUAAAAAGAGAGAGAUUAAAUUAGAGGACAAAAUGUUGAAAAGUCACUGAUAAGUCAAACUCUGGAUAGGAGUUGUUAAGUCUGCAUAAAUUGUUAAAAAGGACCACUAACUUCAAGCCACAUACAAGCUGUGUUUACAAGCAGACAAGAAAUGUUACAGAAAUGUCCUAACUGUUCUUUUGUCUUCAAAAUACUUAAUCUGCUCUUUAUUACUACAUCCAAAAAUGCUAGAACUCUCAGUAUUAAGGAUCUCAUGCUUUGGUGGGUGUAUGAACAAAAACACAAGAAUGAUUACAAGGAUCAAGAAUACCUAGGUACUUGGAUUGCAUACACUGUGCCCACAAUUUUUGCUUUUUGUAUUAUCUAUUCACUGAACCUUUGGGGAAAACAACAAGAACAACAAGAACAACAACAAAAAUCAGCAUAACUUCAAUCUGUUUAUCUCUUUUCUUAAAGAUGGAAUAACUGUACAUUUCUUCUCUGAAUAGCUGAUACAAUGGAACUUAUAAUUAAAGACUAAUGAGUAGAAUGCUAUGUUGAUUUGCACAAUCCAUCUGGCUGACCUUGGCAGAAAGUGUGGAUAGACUCUGCACUAAUGGAAGAUUACACAUAGUGUGCAAUGUGGCCAGAUAAGCAAUUUUUGUGAUUUUUUUAAAUCACAAAGCAUCUUCAUUUCACUACAUUUCAUACAAACAUCUGUACCUCAUAGAGGUUCUUUGGUCAAAACAGACAUAAGAUCACAGUUCAUCUGUGCAAUUUGAUGUGUCCUUGGUUAAAAACAAACAAACAAACAAACAAGAAACUAAAGUUCAAGCUAAAAGUUAUAAAACUUCCAUUCCUUUUCAGUUUAGUAAUCUAGUUUGAAAUAAAUCUGGACAACUCAGUGCUAAAAGGCAAAUUCUUGUGUAUUGGCUUCCAGCUCCUCUGCACUCUAAAAAGAAGUAUUGUUGUUCUAAGGAAAAUUUUUCACAAAGGCUUAGAUCAGAAAUCCUUUAUAAACAAGUAUAGAGCUGCUUGAAGUACAGUAAAAAUAGCAAUUAAAUAUUAAAAAAGUAUCUCUGCAAAAAACAUCUGCACUGUUUUGUUUUUGUUUUUUCCUGAUUUUUUCCUGCAUUUGUUUCUUGAAUGUAAUUGUUCUACAGGGAAACUUUCUCUCCUUAGCAUGAACUUCCAUAAAAUAAUGUAAUCUGGCAUCAAAUUCACAUUUACUUUUUGGGUUUCUACCAGCUUUUAGACAGUUAGUUCUGCUGUUCAAAUUGAGUGCUGUUUAUGGUGGUGUUUUUUAGUAGUGCAAAUAUGCAAACUGCUGUAACUCCUAAAUGGUUUCUGUUUGACUUUUAUAGAAAAAUUGGGUGUUUCUCCAGGCACAGAGCUGUGUGCCAGAACUGUGCAAGGACUCCUUGUUUUUUAAAAAUUGUUAGCCAUUAAACCUGCCUUCUGUCUAUAAUUAUCUUCCAGAACACACCUGUUCUUAUUCAAAAAGGGCCUAAUUCUUUACAUGCGUGAACUGAUCUUCAAAUCACCUCUUCUGCAGCUGUGACACUGCUGAUAACUGUAUUGUUCUGUGAAACCAUGCCAUUAGGUAGCUUGGUUCUGCAGGCAAAAAUAGAUUUGAUAUAUAUUAUUUGAUAUGUAUAUUUGAUAGAUUUUGAAAUAACAUAGAUUUAAUCCUUUACACAGCUAGCACCUGGUAGCUGCCAAGGAAUGUCAGUGAUUGUUGACUGUAUAAAAUAUAAACUGUAUCUAGUUUUAAUGUCCAGAAGUCCAGGAAUAAAUAAAUAAAUAAAUAAAUAAACAAAUAAAUAAAUAAAUAAAUACAGUUUCUAUGUUUUUAUUCCUACACAUUUCCAAACUCCAUAUAAAUUUGCUACUGCAUACUCAGAGGUGACUGAAAGCACAAUGAGUAGGGACAGCAUAGACCCACGGUGUGUGAUGACUGAAAUAUAUUCCUGUGAGAUCUUACAUGUACAACCAGUUUCUGAAAUAUUUCCUACAGCUGACAACUGAAGCUUGGAUGCUGCAGCAGGCAGCUAGUUAACACAGAUAAACAAGCCAUUCCUUACUGUCCCAGGUUUUUCCAGGAAUAGUGUCAUUUUGUUUUAUUUCUAUAAUAGCCUUGAACAGUAAAGACUUAGCAUAGAGGUCAUUUUUAUCUUCCAUCUGUUCUUUUUCAUUGCCUUUCUCUCAAUUUUUUUUACAUGGAAACACUACAACACCUAUCUAAAUAAACAAGCAAACAUAUCCCUUCUAGAUUUUUAACUUUUAAACCAAAUGUUUUAUGAGUGAAAUCUGUUGCUGAAAGUUAGUAUGUUAUCAAGUGAUCACACAAGUCUAACAGGUGUAUCAGUGCAUGUGCCUUGCUAUACGUUUAAAUCCGCUGAGCUUAAAUGGAUUAGAGAAAAUGGAAAUCAAGACUAAUUUUUCUGUGCUAAUGAACACACUUGCAGAAAGCUUCAGAUUUUGAAUUCUUUUGAUGUGCAUGCUUAGUAAUAGAAAAACAUAUUUAUACAAUUCUUUAAUUGCAAUUUGUCUAAUGGGACAUUUUGUCUAAUGGGACAUUUUGUCUAAUGGGACGUUUCACGCUCUCUGCAAGAACAGUCACAGAACUGAUUGUACUUUAUAGUUGCAGUUGACAACAUGCCAAAGGAGUAAGAGAACUAGGAAAUUUGGUGAAAAAGUAGAAAAAAAAUACUUCUUGAAGGCUUGCUGGACACUAAAAGCUGCAUUGUGCUUUGCAAGCCUCCUGAUUCAGGGGGUUUCAGCAAACAGGAUAAGAUUUUUCUAAAACCACAUUGGCAACGACUGUUUCGCAAGUAGCUGUUCCUAGUGUCACAGGGUUCUAUCUAUUUCACAGCAUUAAGACCACCCUUUAAGCCUACAGCAAUAACACUGUAAUAGCUGAUAUGCUAAAGGCUUUUUGGAUGUGACAUUCCUGUCUCCUCUUUUCUGAACUCCUGUUCCUUUCUUCUCUUCCCCACUACAGGCUCCAACCAGACCCUUGAAAAAGCCCUGAGGAACCUUUCAGUAAUCCAAGAGAGCUGAGCUAAUGAUCCCUCAUCCCACAAGGUUCUUCUGCAUUCACUGAAAUAAAAAGAAGACCUGUCCCAUAUUCCAGAAAAAACAUGCUUAUUAAAUACAGAUGUUUUCAGAGUUCCUCCAUUUUGGCUUGUAUGCCAAACAGCUACAUCAUUCAAACCUCUGCCCCCAGAAUUAGAAUAAAAAUAAAAAUAAUAAAAACCCCACAAGUCUCUUCAUGUACUAAUGUAACCUACGAAUAUAGCAAGUAAUGCAGCAAGACUUAGCUGCAUUUCAGAGACUGUCUUUACAAUAAUCUUUCACAAAUGCACUAUGAAAGUAAUUCUCGAAGCAGUCACUAGCACAAAAACAAGAAAACAACCGCUCCCCCCCCCCAAAAAAAAAAAAAAAA